AUUACCUUUUAAAAAAUAUUGACGUGGCGAGCAUGAGGUGCUCAAACUAGACAUCCAAUUCGGGUAGAUUACCUUUCUUAUUGGCAUUCACGAGACAAUAAUACUACAAACUUACAAAAAAUGUGUAGAAAAAUAUGCAAAAUUUGAAUUAGAUUAAUCCUGGGUGUAGCCUAUUUAAUAAUAUAAUACUAAGGUUUAAAUCUAUACUACACAUUUAAAUUUUGAGCAAUGUCGUAACAUUCCAAGGUGGAUGUUUGACCCCUAGACUAAUAAGGUUGAUAAAUACCUAAACAGAAUCUAACUCAAUUCAUAAAUGAAUUACACCUCCAUAACAGUAGCUUAAUCUGAGAUCAAGUUUAACCAAGCAUCAAUCUAUGGUCAAUAAGUUGCUAGUAAGAAAUAUAACGCAAAUCCCUUUAUUUUUAUUUAUGUUUUUUAUAUGGUUUCAAAGCGCGGAAACAAUAUUUUCAUAUAUGGGUAAAAGUUUCGUAGAUCUUGCUGGGUUCAAAGCAUGGAAACAACAUUUCCAUACAUGGUGGAUGGUACUCGUGCACACACACGCCUUUCCUCAUAUGCCAUCAUAGUUGGGGAUAGCUGAUUUUUGAGUUGUCAUAUGAAAAUGAGCAAAACUUGGUCCUAAUGACAAGGGUAAUGCUGGAUAAUUAAUUCAAUGAAGCACUUAUUAAUUAUAAUUUCAAAUUUUUUCUUAUCGUAAUUAACAAAAUAAGAUGAUAAUAAAAGGAACAGAAACAACUGUAGUGAGCUCAGCUUUGGUUUGAGACUGAACCAGACCAGAUGAAAUCAAGUUGUACUUCUUGACAUAAUGGGUCGGUGUUCUUUCCUGGUUAUGUAAAACUGGGACAGCUGAUUUAUUCAAAUAAUUGGGAUCAAGCGAGAGCAAUUUGCUCUGGGGCAAAUUGAGGUCAAAUAUCUUGCUCAGUUGCUCCAUGUGGACUUGACGGUUAGAGAUGUCCAUGUGGUGGGAAUCAUGCAUGAUGUAUCCUGUAGAAAAAAGUGUUGCACCUUUGAUGUUUACUCAAUAUUAACCCGCUUUAGUUUAGUCUGUUGGCAUAGUCUGUUGGCAUAUGUCCAGUCUUGCUUCUCUUGAAUUCACACACAUUGGCAGACUAUUGACUGUUGCUUAAGCAGGUAUUUGGUGCUCUAAGGACAACAAUGUUCAUAUUAGGAAUGAUUUCUGUAUUCAUAGGCAUUUCUUUGCUGGCACCAGACGAGGCAAAAGGGAAAGCUUUGGUUUCUCCAAUUGAGAGAUAUGCAGUUGUUCCUGAUGACAACGUCAAAAGGAUAAAUUUUCCCGAGGGGAAGAUCUGA